rnacentral:rRNA from 1 species
UAGGGAAUAUUGGACAAUGGGGGCAACCCUGAUCCAGCCAUGCCGCGUGAGUGAAGAAGGCCCUCGGGUUGUAAAGCUCUUUUGUCCGGAAAGAAAAGCAUUCGGUGAAUACCCGGAUGUUCUGACGGUACCGGAAGAAUAAGCACCGGCUAACUUCGUGCCAGCAGCCGCGGUAAUACGAAGGGUGUAAGCGUUACUCGGAAUUACUGGGCGUAAAGCGUGCGUAGGUGGUUGUUUAAGUCUGAUGUGAAAGCCCUGGGCUCAACCUGGGAAUGGCAUUGGAAACUGGGCAGCUAGAGUACGGUAGAGGGUAGUGGAAUUCCCGGUGUAUCAGUGAAAUGCGUAGAUAUCAGAUAGAACACCAAUGGCGAAGGCAGUCACUUGGUCCAUUACUGACGCUAAAGCACGAAAGCGUGGGUAGCAA